rnacentral:rRNA from 1 species
AAAUUGAAGAGUUUGAUCAUGGCUCAGAUUGAACGCUGGCGGCAGGCCUAACACAUGCAAGUCGAACGGUAACAGGAAGCAGCUUGCUGCUUCGCUGACGAGUGGCGGACGGGUGAGUAAUGUCUGGGAAACUGCCUGAUGGAGGGGGAUAACUACUGGAAACGGUAGCUAAUACCGCAUAACGUCGCAAGACCAAAGAGGGGGACCUUCGGGCCUCUUGCCAUCGGAUGUGCCCAGAUGGGAUUAGCUUGUUGGUGGGGUAACGGCUCACCAAGGCGACGAUCCCUAGCUGGUCUGAGAGGAUGACCAGCCACACUGGAACUGAGACACGGUCCAGACUCCUACGGGAGGCAGCAGUGGGGAAUAUUGCACAAUGGGCGCAAGCCUGAUGCAGCCAUGCCGCGUGUAUGAAGAAGGCCUUCGGGUUGUAAAGUACUUUCAGCGGGGAGGAAGGGAGUAAAGUUAAUACCUUUACUCAUUGACGUUACCCGCAGAAGAAGCACCGGCUAACUCCGUGCCAGCAGCCGCGGUAAUACGGAGGGUGCAAGCGUUAAUCGGAAUUACUGGGCGUAAAGCGCACGCAGGCGGUUUGUUAAGUCAGAUGUGAAAUCCCCGGGCUCAACCUGGGAACUGCAUCUGAUACUGGCAAGCUUGAGUCUCGUAGAGGGGGGUAGAAUUCCAGGUGUAGCGGUGAAAUGCGUAGAGAUCUGGAGGAAUACCGGUGGCGAAGGCGGCCCCCUGGACGAAGACUGACGCUCAGGUGCGAAAGCGUGGGGAGCAAACAGGAUUAGAUACCCUGGUAGUCCACGCCGUAAACGAUGUCGACUUGGAGGUUGUGCCCUUGAGGCGUGGCUUCCGGAGCUAACGCGUUAAGUCGACCGCCUGGGGAGUACGGCCGCAAGGUUAAAACUCAAAUGAAUUGACGGGGGCCCGCACAAGCGGUGGAGCAUGUGGUUUAAUUCGAUGCAACGCGAAGAACCUUACCUGGUCUUGACAUCCACAGAACUUUCCAGAGAUGGAUUGGUGCCUUCGGGAACUGUGAGACAGGUGCUGCAUGGCUGUCGUCAGCUCGUGUUGUGAAAUGUUGGGUUAAGUCCCGCAACGAGCGCAACCCUUAUCCUUUGUUGCCAGCGGUCCGGCCGGGAACUCAAAGGAGACUGCCAGUGAUAAACUGGAGGAAGGUGGGGAUGACGUCAAGUCAUCAUGGCCCUUACGACCAGGGCUACACACGUGCUACAAUGGCGCAUACAAAGAGAAGCGACCUCGCGAGAGCAAGCGGACCUCAUAAAGUGCGUCGUAGUCCGGAUUGGAGUCUGCAACUCGACUCCAUGAAGUCGGAAUCGCUAGUAAUCGUGGAUCAGAAUGCCACGGUGAAUACGUUCCCGGGCCUUGUACACACCGCCCGUCACACCAUGGGAGUGGGUUGCAAAAGAAGUAGGUAGCUUAACUUUCGGGAGGGCGCUUACCACUUUGUGAUUCAUGACUGGGGUGAAGUCGUAACAAGGUAACCGUAGGGGAACCUGCGGUUGGAUCACCUCCUUACCUUAAAGAAGC